AAAAAUGAUGAUGAUGACAAAAGUUAUUAUUUUUAUUAUUAUUAUUAAUAGUAGUAGUAGUUGUAGUAGUACUAGUCGUAGUAGUAAUACCAGUAGUAGUAGUAGUAGUAUCAGUGUAGAAAAGGUCAGGAGGUUAGUGAGGGCAGUGUCUGUGCAGUAAGUGGAUUGAGAAACAGUCGGAGGUGUAACAUCAUGUGAUCAGCCCCGAGAUGUUGUGGUUUUUUUGUACAUGUGAUAACAGAUGAGGUCACACAGUCGGUCUGUGCACCGUGGUUUUGGCAGAUGAUGUUGUAAUAAAGAUAGGGAUGUAAGGCACAGACAUGUACUGAACGCUGGACAAAAGAUGUUGUUGUCAGGCAGAAGGAGGACCCUGCAUAAGACUCAUGGAUGAAGUGGUUAAAGACAUGGAGAUGGUUGUGUAACGGUUGAGGUGGAGGCAGAUACACCACUACUAAAACAACUAACGUACCUUACAGUAAAGCCAGGAACUAAAAUAUGACCAAAUCUAAAUCCACAUUUAUUAUAAUAUAUCAAUAUGAUAAUUAUUGCAGAGCGAAAAAACUACUGCAAAAAAAGUGUAACUUUUUAACAUGGUGUCAGACGACAAAGAUCUAUUUCAAGAAAAGCCCGAAAACUGUGAUCUGGGUAUGAAAGGUUCAGAGAGUUCAUCUUGACUAUUUUUUUUUUUUUUUUUACUGACUGACAUUUAAUUGUGAUUAUUGCUCUCAGUCGGAGCAUUUUGACAAUAACUUCUGAACAAUUCUUUACAAUUGAAAAUUCCUAAUGAGGUGUUUCACAAACUGCAAAAAAAAAGAGCUGGACGACUGUGUUAAACACGAUACCUGCCACGUUUCAUUCCUGCACAACAAAGAAGUGUUGACACAACAAUAAAUACACAACACAAGCAUCGGUUCCAAAAACCCUCUCGUGUGUUGGCUGUAACAGCGCAGAGCGCAUGCGCGCCACAACACCAGCGUCAAACACGUAGGCUACAGCCCUGCCUGAAGCCUGUAAUGAGAUUCUGUGUGAGCGGUGAACUUUCCCCCAGAUCGAGAGCAGACUGAGGGAGGGAGGGAGGGAGAGAGGAAGGGAGAAAAACACACCCGCACACACAGCACAGCCACAAAAAGAGAUGCAGGAGAGGAGGCUGCUAGAUAUGGAUGAGAGACACUGAUGAUACACAUGUAAAAACACCAACAUCAGCCAAUAUAAUAAUAAUAAUAAUAAUAAUAAUAACAAAAACGCAGGUUUCAAACCACUGCAUCAGAUUCUGCUCCCAGGAUGUUCUCACAUCUCCCUGCAGCAUCACACUGUAUAUACAGUAUAUAUUUAUAUUUUCCAACAGAAUCACUGUGUUUAUUCUGCUGUCUAUCUGCUCAUCCAUUGACCCUAGCUUCCUGUGUGUAGGCAGACAACCAGAGACGAACGUCGACUCAGCCGCGGCCCUGUUCAACCCUCGUACCUCUGCUGCCUAAAGCUGGGGCUGAAGACAUUUACGACGACGACCAUAUUUAUAACACAGUAGGUGUUUUUUUCUUCUCUUCUCAGCACUGCUUCCAUCAACAUGGCAACACUGAAAAACCAAAGCUGCGUGGCUAACACACUUAGCAAAUGAUCUAUUGUCAUAGCGACUCAGGCUCUGGCUGUUUAGGGCCGAAGUAUCUGUUUUAGGACAACAAUGAAAAAAAAUAAAAUGAGGGCAAAUGAAAGAUCGAUUUCUAUAUUGCUACAUAUGUAUUUUAUAUAUUAUUUACCUCAGUUUAUCAGUGGGUGCCAUAACCCACAACAAAUGGGCCAAACAUCUGCAACAUCCGGUUUCGACACUUAAUCAUCGAUGAAGACAGGAAGUACCACUGUACACGACUGUCCUAAAACAACUGGCAUCCAUUUGUUUAUCCUAGAGUAAACUGAAAUGUUCAUGGUAAAAAGGUCUAAAUCACUAGUUUCACUUAAUGAUUUGAUUUUAAGGAAAAGGUGAUAAAGAUCUUGGCAGCUGUUAGAAUUUAGCCUAAAGCAACUAGUAACUUAUGUGACUUUAUACCAACAAAUACCAACAUAGUACUGGUCAUUUCUCACCAUGGAGUUACUGAGUUACUCCUUAAAUAAUAAUAAUUAAAAAAAACAUCAAAUAUGUGUCAGUUUACAGCUUAUAUCCAGUGACUAACAAAUGGAAAAAGACCGUGAUUUUUUAUGUAAACGAUGGUCGAGCAAAAGUUCAGGGACAUGUGUUCAUAAAACCAGCCCCUGAGGUCUGGCUGUAAAAAAAACAAACAUCUGAGCAUCACAAGUUUUCACAGGCAGUAACAGCUUCAUCACCACGAGAGCGAAUAGAUCAGCAGCUGCAGCUGCAGACAGAGAACAACUGUCCCGGAUAGACGUUCCCUUUCCUCGGUCAGGACACGUGAGGUGUGGAGGGGGGUCGGAGGGACCACCAUUGACUGCUGCAGUACAGAGACAGGACGAGCAGAGGUGAAGACAACCCGACAAGAACAAAUCUUCAGCUACGGGAAAACGGUACCCGAUGGCUGUGCCGAUGUCAUGCAUGAUCUCUGACGCCUCUGGUGGACAAACAGGGCAUGGACAGGAGCAGUUGAGGAAACCGUGUAGAGCAGGGAUUCCCAAACACUGAGAGAUGGCAGCAGAUGGCUAUGAAAACUAAAAAAAGGAGAAACACAGCAGUUGAAGAAGAUCUUCAUGUUUGUCUUUCUUCAAUUCCUACUGAGGAUCCGGACGAUGUGAGGUCCACCGGACACACGCCAGUGCAGCUCCACCUCCCGUCUGGCUUUGGGAGUGUCGUAAAGAAUCUGCUCCGAAGACAGACACAGGAACUCAUCAAAACGAUGGCAGCAGAUGGCAAUGAAAAUGAGAAUCAAAGCUGUUGAAGAGGAAGAUCUUUGCGUGUCUUUCUUCAAUUCCUAAACACUCCAGCACCUUCCCGUUGAUGCCCAGGCCCAGGACCUGGGCUGUGACCUUAUAGUCGUCUGUCACCGCGUUCCUCCUGAACUCCGGUCUGCAGCCGGCGGGAGGCUGCAGUUCAGUCAGGCCGC